AUUAAUAGGGCUUUGUCAGCAUGUGGAUUUCUGCAGCAGUCCUCAUUGCAUUGGUUGUAAAUGGAGUCAAGUCUGAAGGAUCUUCCAGCAUUGGUCGAAGAUGCACCAAGGGCUGGGAGAAACUUGGAACGCAAUGCUUUAAGUAUUUCAGCGACUUAAAGCCAUGGGCUGAAGCAGAG